UUAAGUCCACUUUACAUCAACAAUAAAUUGGACAAGAAAUUGACCAAGUUAUUCAAGGCCAAAUUUGACGUGUAAAAGCACACUUUGACAUCUAAGUUUGUUCGUUAUAAACUUCACGUGAAGAAAUUGACGAAAAAGAAAAUUGUUCUAUUUUUUCAUUUUAUUUGGCGUGAAUUCAGUGUCACCAACCUGUGUCCAUUUGGCGGGAAGUGGAAGUAGAGCUUUUUGUUUAUUAUUAUUUGUUGAGGUUGAGUCUUUCAUGUUCAUGACAACCUAAAAAUUUUGAUUGGAAAAUGCAUAUAAGAUAAGGGGGUGGAAAAAUGGAAAUUGGUGGCUUUUUUUGCAGUUCUGUCUGUUAGUUUUGCGUUUUGCUCUGGCUGGGUCUCUUUUGUUUAAACAAUUAUAAUCAGCUGAAAGUGGUCUACAAAAAACCAGGAAGGAAACGUAUUAUAGCCUUGUUGUGGCUAUGAAAGGCAAAAGAAAGAUACCUAUAAAAAGUGUAUUGACUAGUUGGAAGAAACUCCACAUUGUCGAUGCAUAAUAAGAUAUUACUUUAUAAACAAAUAUCAAGACCUAGGAAUGGAACCUGGAUAAUAUAGUCAUCAAGAAGAUAGCAGGAAGUCAUGAGCAACAACAACUUCAUAAGUAUGAGAAUAUUGAGGAAAUCCAGCUCCUCAUAUCUACUACUGGACAAACUAGAAGAUUGAAGAGGACAAAGCCUUUUGAACUAGUUUGAGUGAUAGGUGAUAGUGAAAAGCAGAGCGUAGUGCUUGUGUGCCUGUGUAUGUUAGAAUAGUGCACGAUCUUGUUAGAUUAGAUAAGAGACGCUAUGGGGUAAGCUCUUCAUUUUAAGGAACAGUAGUAAUUUAGGUUAAAUUAAAAUUGCUCAUUGGUCAGUUAUGACCAGAUUGUAAUUCUCUGAUGUUUGGCAAAAAGGGCUUAAGUCAGAAUUGCACAUCAAUAAUGUUUUGAUGAUUUAUGUUUUUGAUGUGUAUGUUAGAAUAGUGCACGAUCUUGUUAGAUUAGAUAAGAGACGCUAUGGGGUAAGCUCUUCAUUUUAAGGAACAGUAGUAAUUUAGGUUAAAUUAAAAUUGCUCAUUGGUCAGUUAUGACCAGAUUGUAAUUCUCUGAUGUUUGGCAAAAAGGGCUUAAGUCAGAAUUGCACAUCAAUAAUGUUUUGAUGAUUUCUGGACCAUAAAAAAGUGUUGCAGACUUAAACUGUAUGUACCAAUAAAAAGAGCCGAUUUUUCUGGUCCAGAAAUCAUCAAAACAUUAUCGAUGUGCAAUUCUGACUCAAGCCCUUUUUCCCAAACAUCAGAGAAUUGCAAUGUACAAUUCAAUACAAAUGAAUCAUCAUCGUAGUGAUGAUUAUGGAAAAAAUAUAUGACAAGAUUUUGUGCAAUAAAAAUGUUUAUAUUUAGCAAGGAUGUAUUAUUUGGUAUGGCCACAUAUACUUCUGGUAUAUCGUCGGUGAUGUGACAAUACCUCCUAUCUGCUUUUUCAUGAAUUUUGUAGGAGACGAAAAACCAUUUUUAGGGUCAUCUCUGUUUUCACAUGUAAAUUUUGACAUGUUUUGUAGUAAAUAGAUAAUUGAAUUUACUACAAAACAUGUCAAAAAAUAUCAUAUGAAAACAGGAGGUGACUGUAAAAAAAGUUUUUAGUCUCUCUUACAAAACGGUUAACAGAGGUGACAGUUAAUAGAGAGACAGAUAAUCAAGGUUCCACUGUAUAGUAAAAUUUGGACACCCGACACCCCAUACAAAUUUUAUGGGGGUUUUGUUCGUUUAAACCCCCCCAAACUUUUGUGUAAGUUACAAUUGAAUUAUUAUUGUGGUACUAUUAAACACAAUGUUUUUAAAACUUUUUUGCCUCUUAGUACUUUUUUGAAGUCAGUUUUUAUUGUGAUAUUUUGAAUAUUUGUCAAAUCCACCACAUAUUUGUAUAUGGUUAAGUACGAUUGUAGAGACUAAUAAUAUGAAAAUUUAUUUAUGAUUUACAUUUUUAGGUAUAUUUUGAACCAUUUUAAAAAGAAGCCAUAUCUUGAUAAAAAGAGCUUUAUCGAAAAAAUAGAAAGAGGUAAAAAAGUUUUAAAAACACAGUGUUUAACUAAUGGUACCACAGAAAUAAUUUAAUUGGAACGUACCCAAAAGUUUGGGGGGGUUAAAGGGAACAAAACCCCCAUAAAAUUUUUAUGGGGUGCACAAAUUUCACUAUAAUUUUUCUUUAAGAUGUUACUGCAAUAAUAUUGCUUCAUGUCCAUUUUCAAUAAAAAAUCUUUAAUAGUUUUCGAUAUAUUCGAAAAAAUCAAUUUUUAUUUUGUAUCUUCAAAGGGCUGUAACUUUUUUUGUGUGCAUAUUUAUACUAAGGUAAGUUAGGUUCAUUCAAAUUAUUUUUGGUCCCAGAAUAUGUGAUUUAAUUUACGACCAAUCUUUUCGGGACACCCUGUAUAAUAAAUGGGAUUAGCUGGCUUAAAAAUUCAUAAUCUACGUUCUGUAGAAAAUAUCCAGUUUUUGGUUUCUUUUUAACUAGAUCUUAAUAUCUAACCAAGCAUUUUAAGACCUUUUUAUUAAUUUUUCGAUGAUAUAUUCGUGUUUUUAGUUUGUUCAAAAUAUUCUAGAUGAUUGUACACUAUAAUAGAUAGCCAACUAAAUAAACACAAAAAUUUUAUUUUUGUUACAGCCUGUAUAUAAGUUUACCUAUAUAUACAGUGCAUUACGCACCACCUUAAAAAUUGGGCAUUUUUGAUGUCUCGAAUUUCCUAAACCUGUUGUCCCAUCUAAGUGAUUUUUUAUAAUAAUAUAGCCUGAGGCUAUAGGUUACUGCCUUAUGCUUGUCAUGCACGGGGAGCUAUACUGUAAUAUAUAUUAUAUCACAUCGCUCUCUAUAGUAAUGAGUAAUGAGUGAGCCUGCACAUACGGAACCAUUAGUUCCCUGUCUGCAGGCUCACUCAUUACUAUAGAGAGCGAUAUGAUAUAAUAUACAUAUAUUACAGUAUAGCUCCCAGUGCAUGACAAGCUUAAGGAUGUAACCUAUAGCCUAGGCUAUAUUAUAAAAAAAUCACUCAGAUGGGACAACAGGUUUAGAAAAUUCGAGACAUCAAAAAUGCCCUAUUUUUAAGGUGGUGCGUUUUCUUGGAGAAGUGUAUUGUAAUUUAAUGUAAAUAAUGUAAUAUCCAAUAAUUGUAAUUUAAUAUAAGAUGUAAUAUAAGUUCCUUAAAAA
rnacentral:lncRNA from 1 species